UACGAAGGGGGUUAGCGUUGUUCGGAAUUAUUGGGCGUAAAGCGCGCGCAGGCGGACUUCCAAGUCAGUGGUGAAAGCCCGGAGCUCAACUCCGGAACUGCCAUUGAAACUGUAAGACUUGAGGAUGAGAGAGGUGAGUGGAAUUCCCAGUGUAGAGGUGAAAUUCGUAGAUAUUGGGAAGAACACCGGUGGCGAAGGCGGCUCACUGGCUCAUUACUGACGCUCAGGCGCGACGGCGUGGGGAUCAAACAGG
rnacentral:rRNA from 1 species